CAGUAUAACCUGAUGCUUGACAUAUAGUUUGCGGUAAAUAUUUGUAAAAUGAAUGCAAACUGGUUCCAACAAGUUCCAACUUAAUCAACCAUGUCAUCAAAUUGAAACAUUAAAAGGUAGGAAAAAAAUCACCAUCAAGAAACAAAGAAGCUGCUAUACUCAAAGGCAUUCUUUAACAACAGAUUCAGAAACUGAGGCUUCUCAGAAAAUUAAGUACAUUUUCUAAGGUCACAUGAGCAAGAGGCCACCCAAUGUGAAUCCGGAGUUUGUGCUGUUGAUCACCAAGCUACACUGCCUGGAACCCAGGACUGAAGCUCAGUAUCUCUUUACUCCUCAUCCACUCUUCCUUCUACAGACCACAGAGCCUGGGAUAGGCAUUAUCAACAUAAUUCAGUUUAUUAGAAACCAGAGGCAAUAAUCCCAAGAUAUCUCAUAUUCUCCUUUUGAAGUUCUCCACUUCUACAACAGAAUUUGGUCUUUACAAGCUGUUUCCCAGGUGUCCAGAGCCCAAGAAAAAUUCCAAGAUGAGAUGUUUGUCCAAGGUCAAGACAUUCUUUGGAUAGUGCCUACUGAGAUCAUCAUCUCGGUUUAGGUGACAGUGAGUCUUAUAUAUGCGUUAUUUUUCCCAAGUAAUGUGAUACCGUGAUUUCUCUUUAAUAAACAUUUCCAG